AUGCCAUGUGUUUGUGCAAGGUUACCACGUUUCAACAAGAAAUCAGAGCUCAAUCUGCACCACAUCUACAUAUUAGCUCGAACUGAGCGUCCGGCCGGGCUCCGGAGUCCGCAAGAGCGAACAAGAGCGAGGACCGGACAGGAGAUAAUGGCGUCGGAGUACUCCUUUGCCCGAGGCGUCUCCCUCCCCGCGCACCGGCCGCCCCUCACCUUCACCUCCUACAGGCUGCGGCACAGUGCCGCGCGCACGAUGGCGAAUCCUCGGGUCAUGGCGGCGGCGAGCGCGGUCUCAGUGGGCGCCGCCAGAAGGAUGCCCGGCUCAGUCAGAUACGGCGGCGCCGGGGUAGCGGCGUUGCGGGCGGAGGAGGUGGACGCGGUACCGCCGUCGGUGCCGGUGCGCGUCGCCUACGAGCUGCAGCUGGCCGGUCACCGCUACCUCGAUGUCAGAACGGAGGGUGAGUUUGGUGGUGGGCAUCCGGUGGGAGCGGUGAACAUCCCCUACAUGUAUAACACCGGGUCAGGAAUGGCGAAGAACUCGCACUUUCUCGAGCAAGUGUCGGCGAUCUUCCGCAGGGACGACGAGAUCAUCAUCAGAUGCCAAAGUGGCAAGAGAUCUCUCAUGGCAGCAGCCGAACUCUGCUCCGCUGGCUUCACUGCCGUGACGACAUCGCCGGAGGGUUCUCGACUUGGAGGGAGAACGGACUGCCGGUCAAUGGACGGUGGCAACGCGGUCAACAUCAUAAUUUGUCUUUGCAUGCUCCGAGACACCACAUCAGUGCACUGA
rnacentral:rRNA from 1 species